CCCUGGCACCCCCUAGAGCCAGGCCUGCAGCCAGAUACAAGCAAGACCUGAGCCACAAGAACACUCUUGCCUCCUGUAGUUUCCAGCAACUAGUAUUCAGAAGUAUACUGCCUCCAACUGCGGCCAUUGAUUGCCUUAUUCUUCACAAAUUUGUCCAGUCCUCUUCCACAGACAUCUAAGUUAGUGGCUGUCACUGGUGGCUUCUUAUUUUGUGACUGCUAAGUGUACUCGGAAGUCUUUGGUGACGUAUGUGGUUGGAAGCUUUUUAUAAGUCGUACUAUGCUAUGCCAAGCGGACCCACCUCUAUAUGCUUGUUGACAUUCUCAAAGAACUCUUUUAAAAUAUUUGUUUAUUGAUUUUUGAGAAUACAGCAGCAGAACAAAUCAAUAGAGUGUACAAAUAAAUCGAAGGAAAACAAAAAUCCAUAACUGUGACUGAGUGAAGUACAGGGAACCCCUGUUUUGUGCAGGGGUUAUGUUCCAGGUCAUCAUGUAUGUUGGUGGAGUGUGCAUAAACCCAUACUGUUAUACUUAUGGGCUCUUCCCGGUCUGAAAACCGCCUGCGCAUGCACUGCCACACAUUCUUUGAACAUGCGCAUGUUGCCUGUACAGAGUUUGUUUACAUCAUCUUCUUCAUCUGCAGCAUGAAGAAAUAAAUAUGAACUCUAGUAGGGCUGUGAGACACAACUUGUACUUGCAUAAGCCAUGCCGAUUCUGUUUGUUUUCUUUAUCUUUAGCAAUACUUUCCAGCAGUUUUCCUGAGACAGAUUUUAAGCUAACCAGCCUGUAAUUUCCAGGAUCUCCCUGGAUCCCUUAAAAAAAAGAAAAAAGAAAAGAAAAGAUGUUUUUAAAAGAAGGCUCUGGUGAAUGCCCUCUGAACUUGGCAAUUGGUCAGUUUUAUAUUUUGUCUAUUUGGCCUAGAUUUCACCACCACUUUUUGCCCCAGUUCCUCUGACUUACUUCCUGCAAAAGUUGGUUCAGGCCCUGGGAUCUCUGCUAUAUCCUCCAUUGUGAAGGUGAAUGCAAAUCAUUCAUUCAUUUUCUCUGCAAUCUCUUUAUUCUCCUUCAGCAGUUGUUUUAACUCCUGUCAACCAGGGCCCCAACAGCCUCUCUGGAUUCUCUCUGGCUACUAAUGUAUUUAAAUGUUUUUAGCAAUGUGUUUCUUUAAUUCCUUUUAGCUAUUUUAUAGUAUACAUUAUACUGUAAUGUGUUCAUGAGUGCAGAUAACUGAGAGAAAGACUAUAUAGUGGCUGGAACCUAAGAACUGGGGAGUCCAGCAAUGCCUCAGUAGUACUAAGCUGGGCAAAGAAGCAAGUUCUCCUCAAAGCAUUAGCCCCUAGGCUGUUUCAGGAAUUGAACAGCUACAAUGCCCACGUUGGGGGGUUAGAAAUGAUCCUGUGAUUCAGUUCUUCACACAGACAUGUGGGUGGAUGACAGUGAGAAUGCUCACAGGAGGAGAUAUUGGGUGGAAUUGCAUUCCCUUGCUAAUGUCAGUUGUGGCUCAUUUUGACUGUCGUUAUGCAAUUUAUCCAAUUUACUUCAUCACAUUGCAGUAUUCAAUCUGAGUGAAAUUUGGUGGUGUCUGUGCAUGUGCUUAUGAACUUCUGCUCACGUGGCAGGAGUUUCUCCUCGUCUGCUUGGUGAUUAAUGGAAAAAUUAGAAACAAUACAAUUUCUCAUGGUUUGAGUGAAAUAUUAUGGCACCAGGUAGGCAGAAAUAUGUUUUGAGCACUGAUUAACUAACCUAUUAACUAUUAACUACACCUAUCAAAUACAUAUGUGCCAGUCUGCAUGAAUAAGUCUUUAGAUGCCUGGACAGACAGACAGACAGACAGACAGAUCGAUCUAUUAUAUAGCAGAGACCAUGGUCAAUAAUCAGUUUAGCUCUAUUAGCAGUACAUAACUUUAUUUUUAGUAGUAGACUGCAAUCUCGUAUCCAUCUGCUGUUCCAAGCUGAAGUCAACAGGACUGACUUCCAUAGAGUAGCAUUGCAUAGAGUAGCACUGUUAGUUGCUUAAGGGAAUUGUUUGUGCCUGCACACAUCUACCCCCCCCCCCAAAAAAAACAGUAAGAAGGUUGCUUUGUUAUAUAUGUGCUAAAUUGGCCACUGGAUGGCAGUAUAAUGCUGCUUUAAUAUAUUUUAAAAACUGAUAAAAGAACAAAACAUGCCUAAACAUGCUGUCUUUACAGGUGAGUAUCAGAUUUAUGUAGCAUGGAUGGGGAAAGUGUUUAGUAGAGAAAAUGAAAUGCCAUAUUUACUGAGAAGAAGCUAUGUUUAUUUUCUUUAGAAAAUCCAACUACUACCUACCCCAUUCAGUCAAUACAGUGGUACCUCGGGUUACGAACUUAAUUCAUUCCAGAGGUCCGUUCUUAACCUGAAACCGUUCUUAACCUGAGGUACCGUACCACUUUAGCUAAUGGAGCUUCCUGCUGCCGCCACGGUGUCCGACAUGCGAUUUCCAUUCUCAUCCUGGGGCAAACUUUGUAACCCAAGGUACUACUUCUGGGUUAGCAGAGUUUGUAACCCAAGGUGUUUGUAACCCAAGGUACCACUGUAAAGCUCUCCAAGGCAGCUCACUUACAGUAAUUAAAAUAGCCAUUUUAAUAAAACAACACAAAAUUAAAAUUUACAAUUUACAAAAAAUGUCGCUGUCAACAGCAAUACAUUAUGCAUAAGAUUUUUACAGUUUUAUGUUGCCAAAGCUGGGGUGAAUAAUUGUCAUCUAGAAAGCUAUGCCAUAGGUUCUUGACCAGGCAUCCCCAAACUUCGGCCCUUCAGAUGUUUUGGACUACAAUUCCCAUCUUCCCCGACCACUGGUCCUGUUAGCUAGGGAUCAUCUGGAGGGCCGCAGUUUGGGGAUGCCUGUUCUUGACAGAUGAGAAGAAGUGGGGGAGCAGCUUGAUGCAUAUCUUGAAAAUGGAUUGUACCUUUGGUUCUGUUUAAACAGAGAUGCAAGGAUAAGAGAGUCCCAAUUCCACCUGCAAGUUCCUAUAGCUUUUACCUUUGCUGUGCGCCUUGAACUGCAACGCUCAUGAUUCCCGGCAGAAAUUAUUGCAAGUGGUGUCCCUUUUCAGCCAUUGAGGAGCUGUAAAUGUUGCUGCUAGCAUCAUUUUCCCGGAGGUGGGGGUGGGAUUCCAGUUUGACAUUUCUUUUCCUCACUCCCCACCCUCAGUGGGAAAACAGUGCUGCCAGCUUCACUGCCAACAUCUUUUCACAUUUGUAGGAGGAGGAGUCCCUCCCCCCUCCCAGCUUCUUUUAUCUUUGAAGGACUCCUCCACUGCCUGGUAUUCCAACCCUGUUCCCUAAAGUGAUCUCCCUCCAUGGGUGAAGAGGUUCAUUGUCCACAGACCAGAGACUCAUUAGGAUGGCCUCAUCAGAAGAUCUUAACACGCUAGCAUGUUCAUGUAGAAGCAGGUAGCCCUUCAGAUAACUUACCCAUAUUCAGUCAAAUGUGCCCAGGAAAUGCAUUUGUAUAAGCAUAGUUCUGCUACAUCUGAAUGGAUAGUAAAAUUUUAGAUAGAAAAUUUAGUGUGGUAUCGGUGAGAGUAUUUUUUUGUGUGUGUGUGUAUUUUUAAUCAUUUCCAAACUUAUUUGGCAAGUUCAUUUCCUGCUUUGCGUACCAUUUAAAGGGCCAAACUACCAGUACAUGUUACAUUGUUGUUGUUUAGUCGUUUAGUCAUGUCCAACUCUUCGUGACCCCAUGGACCAGAGCACGCCAGGCACUCCUGUCUUCCACUGCCUCCCGCAGUUUGGCAUGUUACAUUAAGAUAUCUUAAAAGCACAUUUAAUGUUGACUCCUUGGUUUUUCAUGGAAAUGCAGAAGCAUACCCUACCUGACCCAGUUGAGAGCAUAAUAAGUUGGGAGGUAGGGAUCAACUAUUCCUUUCCAAUGCCAGAUGGCAGCUGAAAAUCGCUCUGCUACUAUUUGCCCUUGAAAGUGCUGUGGGAGAGCAGCUGAGCUGGAAUCUUUUGACAUUUUUUGGUCUCUAAAUAGGCACAAGAAGGAAAAACUUACCGUAACCCUCCCUUCCUCUCCAUACUUCGCAGUCCAGAUCUGGAUCAGGUUCCACUUUAAAAAAAAAAAAGGAAAAGAAAUCCAGCAUGCUAAAAUAUAAUUUCCGGAAGUUCAGUUAUGAAGAGUGCAAUAUUAGACUAGUUUUCUGAAGCUGUUCUGCACGAAAACCUGCUUAUAUACAAGAGUGUGCUUUGUAGGCAUAAACUGCAACCCAGUAUUAUAUGGGAAUCAAAUUGCUUCAGGAAGCUAUAUAGCUCUACUGUAUAUAGCUUUUGUGUUUGUGACACAUUUGGGCAAAUAGUUCACCAUGCACAUGUGUUAAGGGCAGAAUGACAAACAGGUCUUGCUCUCUACAGCAGUGUUUCCCAACCUUGUGCCUCCAGCUGUUUUCGGACUACAAUUCCCAUCAUUCCUGACCACUGGUCUUGCUAGCUAGGGAUGAUGGGAGUUGUAGUCCAAAAACAGCUGGAGGCACAAGGUUGGGAAACACUGCUCUAGAGGAUACCGUGUUUCUCCGAAAAUAAGCCUUACCCCGAAAAUAAGCCAUACCCCGAAAAUAAGCCAUAGUGAUAGGCAGUUUAACCUUGUAGGUUAAACUGUACCAUACUUAAUAAUAAUAAAAAAAGACAUCCCCUGAAAAUAAGCCACCGUGGGGUUUUUUUGAGGAAAAAUAAAUAUAAGACGGUGUCUUAUUUUUGAAGAAACCGUGGUACAGUGCUGAAGGAAGUAAAAGGUAGUACUGUAUUGUGGUGAAAACCUGGCAUUUGUUUUCAAUGUAGCACAACAGACAGCAGUAUGUCCAACCAAAUUUGACACGAAACACACAGAUACAUAAUAGCAAUUUAUCCUCUUGUAUAAGCAAGAUCUGUCAUAUCCCCCCACCCCUUGGUAGCUGCUUUUAAAGUAAAAAAAGGAGAAGAGAGUUGUGAUUUCUAUUCACGGACCUCCCACAUCAUCCCUGUUUUCGGCUCUUAUCGAGGAUUUGGAAGCAACAGGUUCAACCCAAUUUUCAUGUACAGUAAAGUAUUACUUCAGUGGAAGAAAUUGAGGGUGUUACCAGGUGGUGGAUUAAUUUGCAAAUGGGUCAUUGUUGGUAGCAGGUUCCUCCUCCUCUGCCCCCAAUUUAAUGGAUUAACCCUUCAAAAUGAAUAUUAAAGGGCGGGGGGGGGGGGAUAUGGGCUGGCAUUUUGCUGCCAAUCAUGCCAUGUGGACAGUGUAAAAAGCUUGCAUGCAUAAGAACCACCAAUCUCACUAUCAACACCCAUCUGGAUGCAGCCAUUGAAACACUUGGGUGAAACUGACUGCUGAAGAAUGACUAAUGUGACAAGAGUUUUCACAUUUGCCAUCCCAAGCUGUUCCUGAAAAUAGAAGCGCAAUAUUGCUGUUGUUUUGGCUGUAGCGUUGGCUGCUAGGUGCUUGCUUGUAAUAUUAGCAGUUACGGUGCAAAAAAAAAGCCACUUUACAAAGUGCAAUGUUAUGAGUUUGUGGGUGGUGGCUCUUACCAACCUCUUCUUUAGACACUCCUUAUAACAACCGUGUAUUUUAACAUUUAUAUCAUGCUCUUUCUCCAAGGAGCUAAAGAUUCUCCCCUCUCCCCAUUGUUAUCUCCCAAUGACCCACUGAGUUGAGUUGGUUAGUUGGAUUGAGAAACAGUGACUAACCCACAGUUAUCAAGCGAACUUCCUGGCUCAAGAGGGGAUUCCGACCUGACUCUUCCUGUUCCUAGUCCAACAAUCAAAUCCCUACACCACACUGGCUCGGUAGGGUAGGACAUUGUUACUAUGGUAGACAGGAUGAGCAUGGGCAAAGUUGCUGUGGCUAAUAAUAAUAAUAAUAAUAAUUAUUAU